AGAGCUCAAAUUUAAAAUCUGGCGUGCCUCUGGUCGUCCGAGUUGUAGUCUGGAGAAGCGUUUUCCGUGUUGGACCGUGUAUAAGUCUCUUGGAACAGGGCGUCAUAGAGGGUGAGAAUCCCGUCUUUGACACGGACUACCAAGGCUUUGUGGUGCACGCUCAACGAGUCGAGUUGUUUGGGAAUGCAGCUCUAAAUGGGUGGUAAAUUCCAUCUAAAGCUAAAUAUUGGCCAGAGACCGAUA
rnacentral:rRNA from 1 species